rnacentral:rRNA from 1 species
UACGUAGGGGGCAAGCGUUGUCCGGAAUUACUGGGCGUAAAGCGCACGCAGGUGGCUGAGUCAGUCGAUUGUGAAAGCCCUGGGCUUAACCUGGGAAUUGCAGUCGAUACUACUCAGCUAGAGUAUGGGAGAGGGUAGUGGAAUUCCCGGUGUAGCGGUGAAAUGCGUAGAUAUCGGGAGGAACAUCAGUGGCGAAGGCGGCUACCUGGCCCAAUACUGACAC